UACGUAGGGGGCCAGCGUUGCUCGGAAUUACUGGGCGUAAAGGGCGCGUAGGCGGAUAGUCAAGUCAAGUGUGAAAUUCCGGAGCUCAACUCCGGAGCGGCACUUGAAACUGAUUGUCUAUAGAGGGAUGGCGGAGAAAACGGAAUUCCACGUGUAGCGGUGAAAUGCGUAGAUAUGUGGAAGAACACCAGUGGCGAAAGCGGUUUUCUAGCUAUUUCCUGACGCUGGGGCGCGAGAGCAUGGGGAGCAAACAGG
rnacentral:rRNA from 1 species